rnacentral:rRNA from 1 species
GACGAACGCUGGCGGCGUGCUUAACACAUGCAAGUCGAACGGAAAGGCCCUGCUUUUGUGGGGUGCUCGAGUGGCGAACGGGUGAGUAACACGUGAGUAACCUGCCCUUGACUUUGGGAUAACUUCAGGAAACUGGGGCUAAUACCGGAUAGGAGCUCCUGCUGCAUGGUGGGGGUUGGAAAGUUUCGGCGGUUGGGGAUGGACUCGCGGCUUAUCAGCCUGUUGGUGGGGUAGUGGCUUACCAAGGCUUUGGCGGGUAGCCGGCCUGAGAGGGUGACCGGCCACAUUGGGACUGAGAUACGGCCCAGACUCCUACGGGAGGCAGCAGUGGGGAAUAUUGCACAAUGGGCGGAAGCCUGAUGCAGCAACGCCGCGUGCGGGAUGACGGCCUUCGGGUUGUAAACCGCUUUCGCCUGUGACGAAGCGUGAGUGACGGUAAUGGGUAAAGAAGCACCGGCUAACUACGUG